ACAAUGUUGUCACAGUACCAGUGAUGUCACAGUACCAGUGCUGCAACCUCAUAGAACCCUGGUAAGAGUACAUGGAGCAUGACCUGCUCAGUGUGUUGGAAGCACUACAUGGAUCAGCUGCCUGGACCAGAGCCGGAGGUGAUCAGCAGGACAACUGCACGACCUGGUUGCUAGGCAGCACACCAACAUUUUACUGAAUGGCCCCUUGUAAGAUGAUGUCACAGAGCUGAAUGAUGUCACAGAGCAUGUGAAGCACAGCUCCUGCAUGCAGCUCCGGAAUGCACUGCGAUGGCUCCAGUGCAAGUGACAGUAACAGAACAUUCUGAGAUCCACCCACAACAAUGAUAUAACAUGAGGAAGCGUCAGAGGUGAUUCCACAAUCAGUCAGAAGGGGCAUGGUGUGUCUCAGUGUGUAUCCGGGACGCAGGUGCCCACAUGUGAUCCAA